UACAUAAAGUAUAAUCAAGCUUUGAAGACUCGUCAUGAUUUGAAAAAUAGAUUUGAUUCAAUCUCAUUACAAGAUAUUGAUGAUUCAAAUGAGUGAUUAGUAGGAGAAAUGGGUGCUAAUUUGCAAGAUGCUGAAGACGAGCUUGUAUUUGAAGAUGAUAGAUUGACAUGGGAAGAUGUGGCAAGAGCUUCAGGUGCUGGAGAAUUACAAACAUAUACAAGACAGAUGUCAAAGAGAAAAAUGAGUGCAAAAGCAUCAAGCUCAGCUCCUGCUAUUGUUGAAGACAUAGAGAAUGAAACAUAUCUUGAUGAAGAGGAAGGAAUCGAAGGACAAGAGGAAGAAGACAAAUUUAAUGAAGAUGAUUUGUGUGAAAAUGACGAUAAUAUUGAUUAUGAUGAAUGACUUUGAUGUAAAAUUUUAUUGUUUUGAAUUUUGAAACUUUUUGUUAAUGUGAUAUUGUGAUUUUGUAUCUUAGAUUUUCUUAAUUUAAUAGCAUAUUUUUAUUUAAAAUUUUAAAUAAUUAUAUUUAUUAAUUAUAUUUUAUAUUUUUAUAUU